GUCUAUGGCAAUGCCACCCUGAUCAGGCUCUAUCCCAUCUGAUCUUGGAAGCUAAACAUGGUCGAGCCUGGUUAGUACUUGGAUGGGAGACCACCUAGGAAGACCAGGUGCUGUAGGCG
rnacentral:rRNA from 1 species